AAGGACCUGAGGAUACUUCAGAAGGAGAAACAUCUGCUUUGGGACCAGAUGACCGCAGGCCAACCUCAUGACCAGUCAUCAUUAAAACACCCAUUAAUUUAGAUCACCACUCAUUGCAUUAUGGGGUUAGAUGGCACACUGGCUUGGAAGGGGUGGAUAUGAACGUGUUUAUGUGUGUGCGCUGUUGGGGAUUUGCUGUCUUGAAUUCAAUUUGAUUGAGCAAUAGGACAGAAGCCUCUGUACCCCUGGCUGCACUUUCCUGCAGGAAGGACGUCCCCUCAACCUAUAGGAAUGUAUUUGGUGCCUUGCCAUCUCUUUACAUGUAUGUGUGUCUGGGUUUAAUUACAAACUACCCUUCCCCUCAGGAACUUGGGAUGCUUCCUCUUAUUGGGGCUAUAAUGAAUCCAGCUACUAUGAGCAUUCUUGGAUGUGUAUUCAGGGCUAUCAUGGUGGAUGUGAAGUGGUAUUGUGGACUUUCCAUUACCGUUACACAAAGCUUGAAAACAGAGAAGUCCACCAACUAAUUUCCUGAACAAUUAACUUUUGUUGCUGCCUUGGUAAGGAGUCCCCUCUAAAGCCCAGACUAACCAGUGUCCAGGCGGUGUUCUUGGUGUGUGGCCAUCCUCUCUGACAAGAUAACAGGCCCGCUGUCCCAGCCCACCACUACCCAGCAAAGAAGGAAAUGAGCAUCCGAAUUCUUAAACUGAAGACUAACUCAUGCAGAAGGCUAGAUCGGAAAUUCUGAAUAAAAGAAUGAGUCUUCAGCUGACACCAGUUACUGUAAGGAAUUAACCAAGGAAAGUAUCUGUGAGACAGGGACGGGGAAGAUGUUAUCACUGCCAUCUUGCAUAUGAGAUUCAGAAAUUUAAGGGACUUGGCUCGAGGUCUACCAGCUAAAAUCUUCUGGCCAGGAUAUUUUCUUCCAGCAGAUCUAACUAGGCAGAGUUCGUAGCAGCGGGCAAAAAAUGGAAGCACAGCAGAGUCUAAGUCUCCUCUAAUACUGGCUCUGGCCCUGAUCAUGUUACUUGCUUUGGCCAAUGGGAUGACAACAAACAUGGUGCAAGAUGACACUUGAAGACUACUUGGUUAUUGGGGCUUGCCCUUGCUUCUGCACUUGGAACCCUGACACCACCAGAUCAAUGAGCCAGGCUAGCCUGCUGGAUGAUGGAAGACACAUGGCCCUGAGAAUCCCUUGCUCCAGCCAAGAGCCAGAUAUGUGAGUGAGGCCAUCAAAUGCUGGCUGACUACACACACAUAAGGAAACUCUACUACAUAAAUGAGCCUGCCCAAGACCAGCAAAAGAACUACCCAGAUGAAUCUAAUCAAAACUGCUGACUUACAAUGUCAUGAGCUAAUAAACUAUUGUUGUUUUAAUCCAAUA